AUUGAACGCUGGCGGCAGGCUUAACACAUGCAAGUCGAACGAGUGGCGGACGGGUGAGUAAUGCUUGGGAAUCUAGCUUAUGGAGGGGGAUAACUACGGGAAACUGUAGCCUAUACCGCGUACCAUAGGAUGAGCCCAAGAGGGAUUAGGUAGUUUGGGGGGUAAAGGCUCACCAAGCCGACGAUCUCUAGCUGGUCGGAGAGGAUGACCAGCAACACUGGGACUGAGAAACGGCCCAGACUCCUAGGGGAGGCAGCAGUGGGGAAUAUUGCGCAAUGGGGGAAACCUGACGAAGCCAUGCCGCGUGAAUGAAGAAGGCCUUCGGGUUGUAAAGUUCUUUCGGUAGCGAGGCGUUAACUACAGAAGAAGCACCGGCUAACUCCGUGCCAGCAGCCGCGGUAAUUC
rnacentral:rRNA from 1 species